rnacentral:rRNA from 1 species
AUUGAACGCUAGCGGGAUGCCUUACACAUGCAAGUCGAACGGAGUGGCGAACGGGUGAGUAAUGUAUCGGAACGUGCCCAGUAGCGGGGGAUAACUACGCGAAAGCGUAGCUAAUACCGCAUACUAUUGGAGCGGCCGAUAUCGGAUUAGCCAGUUGGUGGGGUAACGGCUCAGCAAAGCUACGACCCGCCGCUGGUUUGAGAGGACAACCAGCCAAACUGGGACUGAGACACGGCCCAGACUACAACGGGAGGCAGCAGUGGGGAAAGUUAGACAAUGGGAGAAACACUGAUCCAGCCAACCCGCGUGUGCGAUGAAGGCCUUCGUGUAGUAAAGCACUGUUGGCAGGAAAGCGGUACCUGCAGAAUAAGCACCGGCUAACUACGUGCCAGAAGCCGCGGUAAUUC